GGUGAAUGCAGGUGGAUGUCGUGACUGGAACUACUACAUUACCUUUAAAGUUAACAACAAUGGGAAUGAAGAAACUUUUCAAGCUCAGGUUGUAAUUUCACUUGAGGGCGCUAUCGAGAUUCCAGUUUGCAGGCCCAAGGUCUAAAUUGUUUCUGAAUUAUCUGCAAUUUAGUUGUUACUUAUAGGUAUUAAGGUACAUUUCUCUGUUUUAUUAUGCCUUUGGUUUGUAAUAAUGGGGCUAAAUCUGAAUUCACCCCACAGCACAAUGCUACUAUCUGAUUGAGUUGGUCACGACUUCAUUUUUGCAUUAAAGAUGCAUUUUAAAUGUUAUGCACCUCUAGCUUUUGCUAGUAGUUUUGAUGCCUGUCGGACUGCCAGUGUCACGCUAUCCAUAUAAUGUAUUGGGCUCCGUCAGUCUAGUAUCGAUGAUAAAUUGGUGGUGACUUUU
rnacentral:lncRNA from 1 species